AGCGUACGCUGGCGGCAGGCCUAACACAUGCAAGUCGAGCGCCGUAGCAAUACGGAGCGGCAGACGGGAGAGUAACACGUGGGAACGUACCCUUUGGUUCGGAACAACCCAGGGAAACUUGGGCUAAUACCGGAUAAGCCCUCACGGGGAAAGAUUCAUCGCCGAAGGAUCGGCCCGCGUCUGAUUAGCUAGUUGGUGGGGUAAUGGCCCACCAAGGCGACGAUCAGUAGCUGGUCUGAGAGGAUGAUCAGCCUCACUGGGACUGAGACACGGCCCAGACUCCUACGGGAGGCAGCAGUGGGGAAUAUUGGACAAUGGGCGCAAGCCUGAUCCAGCCAUGCCGCGUGGGUGAUGAAGGCCCUAGGGUUGUAAAGCCCUUUCGGCGGGGAAGAUAUUGACGGUACCCGCAGAAGAAGCCCCGGCUAACUUCGUGCCAGCCGCCGCAGUAACAC
rnacentral:rRNA from 1 species